CCCUUAGAUGUUCUGGGCCGCACGCGUGCUACACUGAGUGGAUCAGCGGGUCAGGUUGCGCGAAAGCGUUUCCUAAUCUUUAAAUCCGCUCGUGAUGGGGAUUGACGGUUGCAAUUUUCUGUCAUGAACGAGGAAUACCUUGUAAGCGCGGGUCAUCAUCCCGCGCUGAUUACGUCCCUGCCCUUUGUACACACCGCCCGUCGCUACUACCGAUUGAAUGGUUUAGUGAGAUCUCUGGAUUGACGCUGGCUAGGGGGCGACCCUUGGCCAGACUGUUGAGAAACUGCUCAAACUUGAUCAUUUAGAGGAAGUAAAAGUCGUAACA
rnacentral:rRNA from 1 species